rnacentral:rRNA from 1 species
CGGGGCUCAACUCCGGAUCUGCGGUGGGUACGGGCAGACUAGAGUGAUGUAGGGGAGACUGAAAUUCCUGGUGUAGCGGUGAAAUGCGCAGAUAUCAGGAGGAACACCGAUGGCGAAGGCAGGUCUCUGGGCAUUAACUGACGCUGAGGAGCGAAAGCAUGGGGAGCGAACAGGAUUAGAUACCCUGGUAGUCCAUGCCGUAAACGUUGGGCACUAGGUGUGGGGGACAUUCCACGUUUUCCGCGCCGUAGCUAACGCAUUAAGUGCCCCGCCUGGGGAGUACGGCCGCAAGGCUAAAACUCAAAGGAAUUGACGGGGGCCCGCACAAGCGGCGGAGCAUGCGGAUUAAUUCGAUGCAACGCGAAGAACCUUACCAAGGCUUGACAUGAACCGGAAACACCUGGAAACAGGUGCCCCGCUUGCGGUCGGUUUACAGGUGGUGCAUGGUUGUCGUCAGCUCGUGUCGUGAGAUGUUGGGUUAAGUCCCGCAACGAGCGCAACCCUCGUUCUAUGUUGCCAGCGCGUGAUGGCGGGGACUCAUAGGAGACUGCCGGGGUCAACUCGGAGGAAGGUGGGGACGACGUCAAAUCAUCAUGCCCCUUAUGUCUUGGGCUUCACGCAUGCUACAAUGGCCGGUACAAAGGGUUGCGAUACUGUGAGGUGGAGCUAAUCCCAAAAAGCCGGUCUCAGUUCGGAUUGGGGUCUGCAACUCGACCCCAUGAAGUCGGAGUCGCUAGUAAUCGCAGAUCAGCAACGCUGCGGUGAAUACGUUCCCGGGCCUUGUACACACCGCCCGUCAAGUCACGAAAGUUGGUAACACCCGAAGCCGGUGGCCUACCCCUUGUGGGAGGGAGCUGUCCGAAGGUGGGACUGCGAUUGGACGAAGUCGUACAGGUAACC